AGGACCUAGAGGACUACCAACAGGAAGUGGAUGAUGAACCACGCACAUCCCAUUCAAGAAGACAUACAGAGACACGCCAAAUGGAAGCAGCAACGGAAGAAUCAAGCAUGCCCGAUUCAAGAUGCAGAAGACGGAGAGAAACACACAAACAGGAGGAUGUAACUGAAGAACCUCAGACGUCCCAGCCACAAAUUAGAAGACGUCCAGAAACACACCAACAGAAGAAAGUGAAAAAAGAACUUAACCCAUCAUGUUCAUGUCAAAACAUGUUAAUUGACACAGGCCUUUCAAGAGAAGAUUUGUUUGGUGUGAUUUUAAGAGAUAUUCCCUCUAAGAAUAGAUUGUGAUCCUCCAGACCUAAACAAAUGGAGGAGUCUUUCCCCAGAGCAUUGGUUAUACCUUUCUGACCGAUGGUGGAAAACACAAAAUCUAAUGCGAAGGGACUAUGUAGCCGAGUAUUUCCAGAAUCAGCAACAUAGUGAGGCCCAGAUUAAGAGGUUCUUUCAAAGGGAGCAGUGGAAUGUGAAUUUGCCGAGUAUACCUGAGAUUCUGAAGAAAAUAAGCGCUUCAUUGCAUUGAAGGAUAUCUAAGCUAAACUGCAAAAGGCAGAAAAAAGAUGGAAAGCAAGCAUAUUGGAGAUCACCAUCGAUUGAAGGAUAUUGUAGCAUAUUGGAGCUCACCAUCAUGUUUAGCUGGAAAAAGAUAAGUACAUGUAUUCUCUUCGUACUGUCUCUCACCAUCUGUUUUAUCUCUGUUUUACUCUCCCAUGUAAGCAAAAUUGCAAUACACAUUAUAUGUUAUGAAGUAGUCAGCACUGGAGAGAUGAAGAGAAUGACAGAUGUGUUAGACUUUGGACAGUGUUCCUGAACCCAUCAUAAUGACAUCUCAACAGACAGGAUGUUUUAAGAAAUGAAAAACCAUUAUGGAUGAAUUACUUUAAUGACCCUUAAAAAUUCUCCACUUAGAAAUUUCCCACUUAGUAACUUCCACUUUUCACCUUUUUAAUUCUUCUCUCUCUUUCUCUCCCUGUCUCCCCUCUGUUGAACUAUUGGUCAGCAGAACUGUAAUACAUGAUUUUUUUUUUAGCUUUCAAGAAGCACAGACAGUAGUGGAAAGAUGGAGACACAGGGAUCUCUUAAAGAGCUGGACCUACCUGGUGACUCAGAAGGAGAACAAUGCAGAGCCCAUGACUGAUGACAAUGUUUAUGGUGAUGAAGAUGACGGCAAUGAAGAUCUAGAGACCGAGACAUGCAGUCUUGUUGGAGGGCUGGACCAGAGCAAGACAGAUUGUCACAUCACGUUAAAGACUCAGUUUGGUCGAGGGAAAACAUCUGAUUGCCAUAAGUGGGGACAGUAGUGCAGAGAUGAAAGAAACUGAAAACAUGGACUAAUUCUGUUUUUAAAUAAUUGACAAUGACAUCACAUUAAAGACUCAGUUUGGUCCAGAGAAAACAUCCGAUCGCCAUAAGUGGGGUCAGGGAGGAAUUUUUUCUUUAAGUUUAAACUGGCUGGGUUUUUUGGUUUCACUUCCUUCUGGACCAUGGAAUAAAAUAUUUACUGAUCCUUAAAGUUUGUUAAUUCUUUUGUUAUGCAAUUCUUGUAAUUUGAAAUAAAAUACAACUGCUACAUUACUGAA